rnacentral:rRNA from 1 species
GACGAACGCUGGCGGCGUGCUUAACACAUGCAAGUCGAACGGAAAGGCCCUGCUUUUGUGUGGCUCUCGAGUGGCGAACGGGUGAGUAACACGUGAGUAACCCGCCCUUGUCUUUGGGAUAACUUUAGGAAACUGGGGCUAAUACCGGAUAGGAGCUUCUGCUGCAUGUUGUGGGUAGGAAAGUUGCGGCGGUUGGGGAUGGACUCGCUGCUUAUCAGCUUGUUGGUGGGGUAGUGACGUACCAAGGCUUUGACGGGUAGCCGGCCUGAGAGGGUGACCGGCCACAUUGGGACUGAGAUACGGCGCAGACUCCUACGGGAGGCAGCAGUGGGGAGUAUUGCACAAUGGGCGGACGCCUGAUGCAGCAACGCCGCGUGCGGGAUGACGGCCUUCGGGUUGUAAACCGCUUUCGCCUGUGACGAAGCGUGCGUGACGGUAAUGAGUAAAGAAGCACCGGCUAACUACGUG